GCGGGCGUGGCGAAAUUGGCACACGCGCUAGACUUAGGAUCUAGUGGGUUUAUCCCUUGGGGGUUCAAGUCCCUCCGCCCGCACCA
rnacentral:tRNA from 1 species